UACAGAGGUGGCAAGCGUUGUUCGGAAUUACUGGGCGUAAAGGGCGCGUAGGCGGCCUCGCAAGUCCCGUGUGAAAUCCCUCGGCUCAACUGAGGAAUGGCACGGGAAACUGCGGGGCUUGAGUUCGGGAGAGGGAAGCGGAAUUCCGGGUGGUAGCGGUGAAAUGCGUAGAUAUCCAGAGGAACACCGGUGGCGAAGGCGGCUUCCUGGACCGACACUGACGCUGGAGGCGCGAAAGCUAGGGGAGCAAACGGG
rnacentral:rRNA from 1 species